UACGAAGGGGGCUAGCGUUGCUCGGAAUUACUGGGCGUAAAGCGCACGUAGGCGGCUUUCUAAGUCGGGGGUGAAAUCCUGGAGCUCAACUCCAGAACUGCCUUCGAUACUGGAGAGCUCGAGUCCGGGAGAGGUGAGUGGAACUGCGAGUGUAGAGGUGAAAUUCGUAGAUAUUCGCAAGAACACCGGUGGCGAAGGCGGCCUGCUGGGCAGUGGCUGACGCUGAGGCGCGAAAGCGUGGGGAGCAAACAGG
rnacentral:rRNA from 1 species